UGGGGAAUAUUGCACAAUGGGCGCAAGCCUGAUGCAGCCAUGCCACGUGUAUGAAGAAGGCCUUCGGGUUGUAAAGUACUUUCAGCGGGGAGGAAGGGAGUAAAGUUAAUACCUUUGCUCAUUGACGUUACCCGCAGAAGAAGCACCGGCUAACUCCGUGCCAGCAGCCGCGGUAAUACGGAGGGUGCAAGCGUUAAUCGGAAUUACUGGGCGUAAAGCGCACGCAGGCGGUUUGUUAAGUCAGAUGUGAAAUCCCCGGGCUCAACCUGGGAACUGCAUUUGAUACUGGCAAGCUUGAGUCUCGUAGAGGGGGGUAGAAUUCCAGGUGUAGCGGUGAAAUGCGUAGAGAUCUGGAGGAAUACCGGUGGCGAAGGCGGCCCCCUGGACGAAGACUGACGCUGAGGUGCGAAAGCGUGGGGAGCAAACAGG
rnacentral:rRNA from 1 species